ACGAGUUUGAUCAUGGCUCAGAAUCAACGCUGGCGGCGUGCCUCAGACAUGCAAGUCGAACGAUUAAAGCUCUCUUCGGAGAGUGUAUAGAGUGGCGCACGGGUGAGUAACACGUAAGUAAUCUACCCUCGAGUGGGGAAUAACAACCGGAAACGGUUGCUAAUACCGCAUAAUGCAGCGGCACCGCAAGGUGACAGUUGUCAAAGAUUUAUCGCUUGAGGAGGAGCUUGCGGCAGAUUAGCUAGUUGGUAGGGUAACGGCUUACCAAGGCUACGAUCUGUAACCGGUCUAAGAGGACGGUCGGUCACACUGACACUGAAUAACGGGUCAGACUCCUACGGGAGGCAGCAGUCGGGAAUUUUGGGCAAUGGGCGAAAGCCUGACCCAGCAACGCCGCGUGAAGGAUGAAGUAUUUCGGUAUGUAAACUUCGAAAGAAUAGGAAGAAUUAAUGACGGUACUAUUUAUAAGGUCCGGCUAACUACGUG
rnacentral:rRNA from 1 species